UCCCUGGUGGCUUAGAGGGUAGAGCAUCUGCCCGCAAUGCAGGAGACCCGGGUUCGAUCCCUGGGUCGGGAA
rnacentral:tRNA from 1 species